rnacentral:misc_RNA from 1 species
GAUGAAGAACGUAGCGAAAUGCGAUAAGUAAUGUGAAUUGCAGAAUUCAGUGAAUCAUCGAAUCUUUGAACGCACAUUGCGCCCCCUGGUAUUCCGGGGGGCAUGCCUGUUCGAGCGUCAUUUCAACCCUCAAGCUCUGCUUGGUAUUGGGCGUCGCCGGGGAGUCUCCCCGGCGUGCCUCAAAGCCAUCGGCGGUGGUGCCUUUCUCUAAGCGUGGUAGAAUUUUUAUUCGCUUCUGAGUUGGGCUUCGCCUGCCGGACAAACCGGGCCCUCGCGGCCCACCUUCUCAGGUUGACCUCGGAUCAGGUAGGGAUACCCGCUGAACUUAAGCAUACAAUAAGCGGAGGA